rnacentral:hammerhead_ribozyme from 1 species
GCACUGCCGAGGAGUCCCACAAUAGGACGAAACGGUCGUUCAGUGC